UACGUAGGGGGCAAGCGUUGUCCGGAAUCAUUGGGCGUAAAGCGCGUGUAGGCGGCUCGGUAAGUCUGCUGUGAAAGUCCAGGGCUCAACCCUGGGAUGCCGGUGGAUACUGUCGAGCUCGAGUCCGGAAGAGGCGAGUGGAAUUCCUGGUGUAGCGGUGAAAUGCGCAGAGAUCAGGAGGAACACCCGUAGCGAAGGCGGCACUCUGGGCCGAUACUGACGCUGAGGAGCGAAAGCGUGGGGAGCGAACAGG
rnacentral:rRNA from 1 species